rnacentral:rRNA from 1 species
CGUGAAAUUGUUGAAAGGGGAACGUUUGACACCAGUUAUGCGGGUGGAAAAUCAGUCUUUUGCAGUGGGGAGUUGUGGGCGUUCAGACCGCAAGGCUGGCGUUUGCUUCAUCUUUGUUGUAAGUGAUGCACUUUUUCAUUUGCAGGUCAACAUCAGUUUGCUUUGCUGGACAAAACCCCAAGGGAAGGUGGCAGCUUAGGCUGUGUUAUAGCCCUGGGGCGAUACAGUGGAGUGGACUGAGGUUUCGCAGU